UACGAAGGGGGCUAGCGUUGUUCGGAAUCACUGGGCGUAAAGCGUACGCAGGCGGCUUUGCAAGACAGGUGUGAAAUCCCCGGGCCUAACCUGGGAACUGCAUUUGUGACUGCAUCGCUAGAGUCUGUCAGAGGGGGGUGGAAUUCCACGUGUAGCAGUGAAAUGCGUAGAGAUGUGGAAGAACACCGAUGGCGAAGGCAGCCCCCUGGGAUGAGACUGACGCUCAUGUACGAAAGCGUGGGGAGCAAACAGG
rnacentral:rRNA from 1 species